UGGGGAAUAUUGCGCAAUGGGCGAAAGCCUGACGCAGCCAUGCCGCGUGUGUGAAGAAGGCCUUCGGGUUGUAAAGCACUUUCAAUUGGGAAGAAAGGUUGCGUGUUAAUAGCACGUAGCUGUGACGUUACCUUUAGAAGAAGCACCGGCUAACUCCGUGCCAGCAGCCGCGGUAAUACGGAGGGUGCGAGCGUUAAUCGGAAUUACUGGGCGUAAAGCGCGCGUAGGCGGUUUGUUAAGUCGGAUGUGAAAUCCCCGGGCUCAACCUGGGAAUGGCAUUCGAUACUGGCCGACUAGAGUACGAGAGAGGGAGGUAGAAUUCCACGUGUAGCGGUGAAAUGCGUAGAUAUGUGGAGGAAUACCGGUGGCGAAGGCGGCCUCCUGGCUCGAUACUGACGCUGAGGUGCGAAAGCGUGGGUAGCAAACAGG
rnacentral:rRNA from 2 species